CACUUAGCAGCGAGAGCCAGGGCAAAACACUCUCCUGCACGCAACAGCAUGCAGCCAAGAUCAGAAACUGAAGAACGACAUUCCUCCCAUCUCAGUGAGGUUGAGAAUCAUCCACUUCCUCCCUCCUCAUCUUGCCAUCUCUGCCUCGCUGCUUCCCCGCGUCCUCUGGGCUGCCACAGGAAUUCGACAUCUUCCAAGUGCUCUGUACUCUUUCUAAAGACGGACGAAGCUGCCUUUUUGAGGGAGAUUGGGCUUCUGAGAGCCCCGAUGUGCUCUGGCUGCUCUUCAAGCCCUGAGCGGAGCUGGGGAGCCCUGACAGGAGCCGCUCGCAACUCCGCUGCUUCUCUGCCGCCCUCUCCUGAGCAACAGCAGCAGCAAAGGCGGCACGCACCGCACCGCAGCGCGAGCCGCCCGCCGCCGCGCGCUCUCCCACCCCUGCACCUCGUCAGGCCACCUGCACCUCGUCAGGGCACCUGUACCGCGCCAGGCCACCUGCACCGCGCCAGGGCACCUGCACCGCGCCAGGCCCCUGCGUGGGCAGCUGGCCUGCAGCCCAUGAUGGGCAGAGGUGCUCUCCAACUCCACCUGUUCUGGGAUUCGACGAAAAGCAAAAACCUCCCCCGUACUGAUUGCAUACACAA